rnacentral:lncRNA from 1 species
ACAUAGUCUCUGAAGUCACACAACUUCUGCUUCGUUUUAUUGGUUAGAAGCAAAUCACUUUAUUCAGCCCACGCUCAAGGAGAGGGAAAUUAGGCUCCACCUCCUUUAGCAAUAAUUGUGUCUCGCGUAAACCUCGUUGGCUUCGAUCCUGCCGCUGCAGAAAUUUUUACUUCUUGAAGAGAUCACAAGUAGGCAGAGAGGCAGGCAGAGAGAGAGAGGAGGAAGCAGGCUCCCUGCUGAGCAGAGAGCCCGAUGCGGGGCUCGAUCCCAGGAUCCUGAGAUCAUGACCUGAGCUGAAGGGAGUGGCUUAACCCACUGAGCCACCCAGGCGCCCCCAGAUUCAUGUCCAUUGGAGUACAUCGUCAACAAAAGAUGACCCACCCAUAGGUAACUGAGGACUAACAAGGCUUGAUAAUGUUUAUACAGCUUUUUAAGCACUUACUGGGAAAGUGCUGUGGUGGCCAUAAAAAGUCGAUUUUAAUCUUUCUAUGCUCAGAGCCCUAUUUCGUAAACUCAACUUUUUUUUAAAAGGUAGUGUGAGUUAGAACUAGCUUUUUUUCUGAAACAUGGUCAAGAUGUCUUUGAGACCAGUUUAAAUUAUAGCUGGUGUGAAUUUAAUUAUUCCCUAGAAUAGAGG